GAAUGCUGACAUAAGUAACGAUAAAGCGGGUGAAAAGCCCGCUCGCCGGAAGACCAAGGGUUCCUGUCCAACGUUAAUCGGGGCAGGGUGAGUCGACCCCUAAGGCGAGGCCGAAAGGCGUAGUCGAUGGGAAACGGGUUAAUAUUCCCGUACUUGGUGUUACUGCGAAGGGGGGACGGAGAAGGCUAUGUUGGCCGGGCGACGGUUGUCCCGGUUUAAGCGUGUAGGUGUGUGUUCCAGGUAAAUCCGGUUCACUUUAACACUGAGGCGUGACGACGAGGCACUACGGUGCUGAAGCAACAAAUGCCCUGCUUCCAGGAAAAGCCUCUAAGCAUCAGGUAACAUCAAAUCGUACCCCAAACCGACACAGGUGGUCAGGUAGAGAAUACCAAGGCGCUUGAGAGAACUCGGGUGAAGGAACUAGGCAAAAUGGUGCCGUAACUUCGGGAGAAGGCACGCUGACACGUAGGUGAAGUGAUUUACUCAUGGAGCUGAAGUCAGUCGAAGAUACCAGCUGGCUGCAACUGUUUAUUAAAAACACAGCACUGUGCAAACACGAAAGUGGACGUAUACGGUGUGACGCCUGCCCGGUGCCGGAAGGUUAAUUGAUGGGGUCAGCGCAAGCGAAGCUCCUGAUCGAAGCCCCGGUAAACGGCGGCCGUAACUAUAACGGUCCUAAGGUAGCGAAAUUCCUUGUCGGGUAAGUUCCGACCUGCACGAAUGGCGUAAUGAUGGCCAGGCUGUCUCCACCCGAGACUCAGUGAAAUUGAACUCGCUGUGAAGAUGCAGUGUACCCGCGGCAAGACGGAAAGACCCCGUGAACCUUUACUAUAGCUUGACACUGAACAUUGAGCCUUGAUGUGUAGGAUAGGUGGGAGGCUUUGAAGUGUGGACGCCAGUCUGCAUGGAGCCGACCUUGAAAUACCACCCUUUAAUGUUUGAUGUUCUAACGUGGACCCGUUACCCGGGUUGCGGACAGUGUCUGGUGGGUAGUUUGACUGGGGCGGUCUCCUCCUAAAGAGUAACGGAGGAGCACGAAGGUUGGCUAAUCCUGGUCGGACAUCAGGAGGUUAGUGCAAUGGCAUAAGCCAGCUUGACUGCGAGCGUGACGGCGCGAGCAGGUGCGAAAGCAGGUCAUAGUGAUCCGGUGGUUCUGAAUGGAAGGGCCAUCGCUCAACGGAUAAAAGGUACUCCGGGGAUAACAGGCUGAUACCGCCCAAGAGUUCAUAUCGACGGCGGUGUUUGGCACCUCGAUGUCGGCUCAUCACAUCCUGGGGCUGAAGUAGGUCCCAAGGGUAUGGCUGUUCGCCAUUUAAAGUGGUACGCGAGCUGGGUUUAGAACGUCGUGAGACAGUUCGGUCCCUAUCUGCCGUGGGCGCUGGAGAACUGAGGGGGGCUGCUCCUAGUACGAGAGGACCGGAGUGGACGCAUCACUGGUGUUCGGGUUGUCAUGCCAAUGGCACUGCCCGGUAGCUAAAUGCGGAAGAGAUAAGUGCUGAAAGCAUCUAAGCACGAAACUUGCCCCGAGAUGAGUUCUCCCUGAGACUUUAGGUCUCCUGAAGGAACGUUGAAGACGACGACGUUGAUAGGCCGGGUGUGUAAGCGCAGCGAUGCGUUGAGCUAACCGGUACUAAUGAACCGUGAGGCUUAACCUUACAACGCCGAAG
rnacentral:rRNA from 3 species